GAUAUUGUUGCUCAACUACGUAGAAAGGUUGAUGCGACCAAAGAAGGAGAAACGUGCCCGAUCUACCAUAACGGUAAAUGUACCUGGCCAAUUAAGAUUGGUGAAAAAACAACAAACUUUACUGGUGCUAUCUCGGUUUGUGCAAGGAUUGGUCGAAAACUUGCCGACAUCACCAGUAGAAAGCAAUAUAAUCUUAUUGCCUCUUACAUAUAACCAUGGUUAGCUGAGGAUGAAAAUCAAUCCUUUUUUAUUUGGACUGGAAUGAAAUACAGUUCUAAGAUUAAAAAUCUGACGUUCAUCGAUGGUACCGAACCCAACUGGUUGUUAAAAUACCCUAAUCUACCAGCAGAAGAAAAAGAUGUCGGAGUGGUAAUGAAAAUAUCAAAUAGACAAGCAUUCAUUCUUUAUCGAUAUUGGCAUAAAGUAGGCUUUGGUGCUUUAUGCCAGUAAAAUAGUCAUAUCUUUGCAAAAACACCACAUACUGACUAGAGAUGUAUCGAUGUAUCGGUAUCGGCAGUAUCGGCCCAAUUUUUGGUAAUAGUCAUUGGAGAUUACUCUAUCUUUAAUUAAGUUCUGAAAAAUUGUAAAUUCAUUGAAAAGCUAUUUUUCACAAUACCAACAUUUUUUGCAAGGCAAAGUAGAGCGAACUAUAGGUGUAAGUCUAAUUCUAAUAUGCUACCCGCUACACUAAUAGUUCUAUAUCUGAAUGACAACAAUUCGAUGACCAUUUUCGUUGCGAUUUAUUUUAAUUUUUACGGACAUCAAUAUAGAUAUUUCAUAUAUUCUUUCCCGAAAUGCUUUAGUUGUAAACAAUUUUUCUUAUUUGUUGUUUGCUUUCUUUGUAAUUUUUAUAGGCCUACAUUUCUUCAACUUUGCCUUUGAUGUAAAUUU